GACGGGUAUCCGGCCUGAGAGGGUGAACGGAUCUCACCUGGAGCUGAGACACGGUCCAGACUCCUACGGCAGGCAGCAGUUCAGGGAAUAUUGCUCAAUGGGGGAAACCCUGAAGCAGCAACGCCGCGUGGAGGAUGAAGGUUUUAGGAU
rnacentral:rRNA from 1 species